ensembl:snoRNA
UGUCCCUGGCCUGCGUAGAGUGACACCUGGCUAGUUGUGCCCAUCUCUUAUCAGUCAGGGACAAAGCAGCCCUGUGUUCAUCCCACCUUGGCUUUUGGGCAGUGCCCUUGCCUAGUUCAUGCCUUGGACACAUGG